UCAAAAUAAUAGUGUGAUAUGAGUGAUUCUUUAAAAUUGGUAAAAGGCAAUGUACUGCUCAGAUUUCGAGCUGGCUCGCCUCGCUUAUUUCAUUUUGUCCUGAAGGAACAAUAAUGUUCUAGGAUUGUUUUUGACUUGGAUUUUAGUACGUUACAGCAGAACUCAAACUUCGUCUGCAUAUGAUCAUCGUCCCGGCGAGCAGCAGGACCAGGUUUAAUGUUGAUGAAACUGGACUCCGUGGUACAUAUCAGGUCCACCCUUCGUCUUAGAUUACCACAACGACGACACCGUUACUGGCACCGCCAUCAGGUGUUCGCAAGACCAAGCAAGAAAGAGAGAGCUUCGGAGGAAGCGGAGAGAUAUUGUAUGGCUAGUGCAGUAUGCUGGCUGUAGCCUCCGCUGACGACUGGCUUGUGUCCUUCGAAGCUUUCAUUAUAUGCUACCUCUGUUACUCUUACCUGCUACAGGCUGCGAAGCUUAUUUGCCGUCAAUGUCUCUUGUGCUUGGGCGCCUAAGGGAGAUUAGGGGUUCUGGAGAAACGACCCUUUAGAAGGGGUUUCGCAUGACUUCGGUUGGCCGCGACUCCCUUAUCCACCGAGACCCUCUAGUAUCGCUAACGCUGCUGGAACGACCCGCUGAGGCGACGCUUUCCUUCGCUGGUGUUGUCAGCAUCAGUAGCAGUAGUAGCCAAUGCCGAGGUCCUCAUAAGUAGCUGGUGAAAGAGCAAUACUCCCAUCACACAGGCGGUCCCAACCUGGCCGACGCGGUCUCUGGAAACGAUGGGGCUGACUGUCACGGUGACUUUCAGCUAGUGGCUUUUGCACGAUGGGCCAUCGGGCUAGCGGAUUGCAAUGAAUUCAGAGAUUAUACACCCACUCCCGUCACAAACUCUUCGUAACGUGUACAGCCGCUUCCCUACAAGGGCCCCGAUGCACCAGCCGGGGGCAUAGGGAAGGUUCAUUGCUUUCAAUGGUACGAUUACGGCAGGGACGUGCUGAAUCGUGAUGAUAGUGAAUUCGAGGAGCCGACGCGAUGUGUCCCUGGACAGCGGCUUUUAACGUGCGGACGGCGUACGGCACAAAAAUUCAUGACUGAACGAAGAACAAAGAUGUUCGUUACAACGAAACUGAGAGGGAAGCCUAAUAGCUACAAGGCUAAAGGGGAAGCUUGAAAGUUGGCUACGUAAUAGAAACGCUAGAGCAGGUAGUAGCCUGCUUUAUUCGCAUGCUCUGGAACCAGAGCCAGCGAAAAUUCAAUGCUGUGGUGAUCAGAACAGCCUUCGACGUACUUUAAACGAAAAAAAGAAGAAGGACAAAAAGAGACAAAAGGCCAGUACGAGCGCAUAAGUAUUUGCAAGAACAGCAGGUCCCGCAACCAAUUUUUCAAGUGAUAAGACUGCCCGACGAUGUGAACAAUUAGGACCAGUCGUCAUGCCUUCAAAACGAAGCACGAAACAUUCGAUCUGGGAGAAAAAUAAUUUCGGCUUCAAUGCAAUUAAGUAUGGAAUAAUUAGUCAUUGCUGAGAAAAUCCGGGAGUGUCUUUGGGAAUUUGU